CUGAGGAGGCAGCGUUUUCUGGGCUUCUUUCUGGUUCUCUCUCUCCAGAAGGUUCUGCCGGUUCCCCCAGCUUUGGGUACCCGGCUCUACAUCGCGCUGCCAUGAUGGGUCAUCGUCCGGUGCUUGUCCUUAGCCAGAACACAAAGCGUGAAUCUGGAAGAAAAUUUCAAUCUGGAAACAUCAAUGCUGCCAAGACUAUCGCAGAUAUCAUCCGAACAUGUUUGGGACCCAAGUCUAUGAUGAAGAUGCUUUUGGACCCCAUGGGAGGCAUUGUGAUGACCAAUGAUGGCAAUGCCAUUCUUCGAGAGAUUCAAGUACAGCAUCCAGCGGCCAAGUCCAUGAUUGAAAUUAGCCGGACACAGGAUGAAGAGGUUGGAGAUGGGACCAUGUCAGUAAUUAUUCUUGCUGGGGAGAUGCUGUCUGUGGCUGAGCACUUCCUAGAGCAGCAGAUACACCCAACAGUGGUGAUCAGUGCUUACCGCAAGGCGUUGGAUGAUAUUAUCAGCACCCUUAAGAAAAUAAGUAUCCCUGUCGACACCAGUAACCGAGAUAUGAUGUUGAACAUCAUUAACAGCUCCAUUACUACCAAAGUAAUCAGUCGGUGGUCGUCUUUGGCUUGCAACAUUGCCCUGGAUGCUGUCAAAACUGUACAGUUUGAGGAGAAUGGCCGGAAAGAGAUUGACAUCAAGAAAUAUGCAAGGGUAGAAAAGAUACCUGGGGGCAUCAUUGAAGACUCGUGUGUUUUAUGUGGAGUCAUCAUUAACAAGGAUGUGACCCAUCCACGAAUGCGACGCUAUAUCAAGAACCCUUGCAUUGUGUUGCUGGAUUCUUCUCUGGAAUAUAAGAAAGGAGAGAGCCAGAUUGACAUUGAGAUCACACGAGAGGAAGACUUCACCCGAAUUCUCCAAAUGAAAGAAGGUACACUCAGCAGCUCUGUGAGGACAUUAUCCAGCUGAAGCCAGAUGUGGUCAUCACAGAGAAGGGCAUCUCCGAUUUAGCUCAGCACUGCCUCAUGUGAGCAAAUAUCACAGCCAUCCGCAGAGUCCGGAAGACAGAUAAUAAUCGCAUUGCUAGAGCCUGUGGGGCCCAGAUAGUCAGCCGGCCAGAGGAACUGAGAGAAGAGGAUGUUGGAACAGGGGCAGGCCUGUUGGAAAUCAAGAAAAUUGGAGAUGAGUACUUUACAUUCAUCACUGAAUGCAAAGACCUCAAGGCCUGCACAAUUCUUCUCCGUGGGGCUAGCAAAGAGAUUCUCUCGGAAGUAGAACGCAACCUCCAGGAUGCCAUGCAAGUGUGCUGCAAUGUUCUUCUGGACCCUCAGCUGGUGCUGGGGCGGGGAGCACAGAGCCAACAGAGUCUCCCCCUUCCCUGA